GGCUACCAUGCAGUCGAGCGGUAGAGAGGUGCUUGCACCUCUUGAGAGCGGCGGACGGGUCAGUAAAGCCUAGGAAUCUGCCUGGUAGUGGGGGAUAACGCUCGGAAACGGACGCUAAUACCGCAUACGUCCUACGGGAGAAAGCAGGGGACCUUCGGGCCUUGCGCUAUCAGAUGAGCCUAGGUCGGAUUAGCUAGUUGGUGAGGUAAUGGCUCACCAAGGCGACGAUCCGUAACUGGUCUGAGAGGAUGAUCAGUCACACUGGAACUGAGACACGGUCCAGACUCCUACGGGAGGCAGCAGUGGGGAAUAUUGGACAAUGGGCGAAAGCCUGAUCCAGCCAUGCCGCGUGUGUGAAGAAGGUCUUCGGAUUGUAAAGCACUUUAAGUUGGGAGGAAGGGCAUUAACCUAAUACGUUAGUGUUUUGACGUUACCGACAGAAUAAGCACCGGCUAACUCUGUGCCAGCAGCCGCGGUAAUACAGAGGGUGCAAGCGUUAAUCGGAAUUACUGGGCGUAAAGCGCGCGUAGGUGGUUCGUUAAGUUGGAUGUGAAAUCCCCGGGCUCAACCUGGGAACUGCAUUCAAAACUGUCGAGCUAGAGUAUG
rnacentral:rRNA from 1 species